UAACUACUCCCUCCGUUCGGAAUUACUCGUCCAAGAAAUGAAUGUAUCUAGAUGUAUUUUAGUUGUAGAUACAUCCAUUUUUGCGACAAGUAAUUCCGAACGGAGGGAGUAGCAG
rnacentral:pre_miRNA from 1 species